GACAGAGGCCUCGAGCGUUAGGCGGAAUCACUGGGCUUAAAGCGUGUGUAGGCGGGCCCGUAAGUGUUUUGUGAAAUCCCACGGCUCAACCGUGGAACUGCUGGGCAUACUGCGGGUCUUGGGCCAACUAGGGGCAGCCGGAACAAGCGGUGGAGCGGUGAAAUGCGUAGAUAUCGCUUGGAACGCCGAAGGUGAAAACAGGCUGCUGGGGUUGCGCCGACG
rnacentral:rRNA from 1 species